rnacentral:rRNA from 1 species
AGUGAACGCUGGCGGUAGGCCUAACACAUGCAAGUCGAACGGCAGCACAGGAGAGCUUGCUCUCUAGGUGGCGAGUGGCGGACGGGUGAGGAAUACAUCGGAAUCUGCCCAGUCGUGGGGGAUAACGGAGGGAAACUUACGCUAAUACCGCAUACGACCUUCGGGUGAAAGAGGGGGAUCGCAAGACCUCUCGCGAUUGGAUGAGCCGAUGUCGGAUUAGCUAGUUAGCGGGGUAAUGGCCCACCAAGGCGACGAUCCGUAGCUGGUCUGAGAGGAUGAUCAGCCACACUGGAACUGAGACACGGUCCAGACUCCUACGGGAGGCAGCAGUGGGGAAUAUUGGACAAUGGGCGCAAGCCUGAUCCAGCCAUACCGCGUGGGUGAAGAAGGCCUUCGGGUUGUAAAGCCCUUUUGUUGGGAAAGAAAUCGUUCAGGCUAAUACCCUGGGAGGAUGACGGUACCCAAAGAAUAAGCACCGGCUAACUUCGUG